rnacentral:rRNA from 1 species
ACGACAGACCGGUGAACUGUAUUAAUUUGACUGCCUCUACCCCCGUUGUACCUCACGGUGCGGUCGGGUGGCAGACCUCUCUUAACAAAGCAACUCCCAGCGCCAGCGCGCCAAGGACCUGUAUUCAAUCGGAACGGACGCAGUGGGCGACCCCAACAGGGGCGUGCCCGCUGCGCGACCGAACUGAACAUCUCACUUGUGUACGUAUGACUCUUUCGGUAACGGAUAUCUCGGCUCUCGCAUCGAUGAAGAACGUAGCGAAAUGUGAUACUUGGUGUGAAUUGGAGAAUCCAGUGAACCAUCGAGUCUUUAAAAGCAAGUUGCGCCCAAGGCCAUCCGGUUGAGGGCACGCCUGCCUGGGCGUCACGCCACCCAUCGCUCCCCCCCCACCCCAACCCAAUUCGACCCGGAGGUGACGCGGAGACUGGUUGCCCGUGCCGGAGACGAUCUCCAUGCGCGGUCAGCCCAAAUGCAAGAAAGCUGCGCAGUUGGGCGUGACGAGUGGUGGCAGGGGCAGAGCUGUGGACGCAGCGCCUACCCAUGUUGCGCUACGUGGAAUGAGAGGGGCACGGAUUGCAAGCCGCCGGUGUGACUUGAGUGGAUCGGCGUGCCGGCUCUUGAACUACGACCG